AAUAACGUGCUUGACAAAAAGGUCGUCUUGAUAGGGCGAAUCAUGGGAGGUGGCCUCCCCGUUAUUA
rnacentral:tRNA from 1 species